rnacentral:rRNA from 1 species
UACGUAGGGGGGCAAGCGUUGUCCGGAUUCAUUGGGCGUAAAGAGCGUGUAGGCGGCCUGGAAGGUCAGCUGUGAAAACUCGAGGCUCAACCUCGAGACGUCGGUUGAAACCACCUGGCUAGAGUCCGGAAGAGGCGAGUGGAAUUCCUGGUGUAGCGGUGAAAUGCGCAGAUAUCAGGAGGAACACCAAUGGCGAAGGCAGCUCGCUGGGACGUGACUGACGCUGAGACGCGAAAGCGUGGGGAGCAAACAGG